AUAAACUUAACGAAUAAAAAAAAUCAGUUGGCUGCAAAACAGUGUCACCUAUCAAGAAGUCCCAUGGAGUGAUCAACCCAGACCAUUUCGGUUUGAGUAAAUGCGACCUACGAAGUUCACACAGCCUAAAUCCAAGUUGUGUCCCCGAGCUGAGUGUGUCCUCAUGGUUAAGCAGUGUGUGUGACUACAUUAUUAUAAUAAUAAUUUUGUUUUUAAUAAUCGAGUGCUAGGGACUUCCCAAAGGGCUUUACCGGAGGCCUCACCUCAGCGCCAGGUGAGGACAGGGGCAGAGGAAGGCAGGUCUGACCCCUUCUCCCUCCCUGAGGAGGAGCGAUGACAGGAAGCCCAGCAACCUGACAGAUCCACUCCUCAUCUCAGCAACCCCACCACCCCAGAGCUGGCCUCACCGCUAAGAUUUGGGGUUUUCUAGGUGUUUUGCUGUCAGGCCAUUGUGCAGGGCUGGGGGCGGAUGAGCCUCUCUCAGGUUUUGAGAUCAUGCGAGGGAGCUAUGCCCUCUUUCAGAUCAAGCUUCAAGUAGCCCAGUCUCCCCACACCCUCCCGCCCAUGUCACCGGCGCAUGCGCAGCACCGGCUCUCAGGCCCCAAAGGCUGCGCCGCAACUGCAGAAAUGACUCAGCACCAGGGCUCCGUGGGCGCCAGAUCUGCCCGGGGCUUGGGCUCAGGGAUGCUGAGUAGGCACAAGCACGGGACCCAGGGUGGCCUCUGCGGUGGAAAGCAGCCCCGGCCUCCCUCAGCCUCCUUCUCUGCUGGGAAGAUGAACACUAUUGAGUCUCUCUGGACAACCUUAGACUUCACAUCCCCAUUUUAAGAUGAGGAAAUCGAGGCUUAGAGAGAUCCUUUGUUUUAUGCUGUGGGACAAGAAAUCGCACUCUGCAAUGCCAAGGUCAACACCAAGUUGCACACAGGAGGCUGGCGCAGUUCCCGUGUCACCCUCCUGACCCUGGGUAAGCCCCCAAGGCUUCUCAGGGGUGCCUGAAGAGAGGACUCUGAAACCAGCCCAGGGCCCUCGGACCAGAUGGGGUGGAACAAGUGUUACUUUUUAUUGUUCUCUACCCUGAGGUCUGGCAGCUGCCUGUCAGCUUGGGUUCCCCACAGCCCCACCAGCUCCCCUCCAGCCCCAGUCAGCCCCGGAGGUGGCUGGUCAGGCCCAUUGGGCCACAUUUCUCCUAGUUUCCCAACUCGGUAACACCCGCCCCCUUGCUGGGGACCUCUGCCCCCUACCCUGAGGGAAGAUUCCAGAACAGACAGCAGAGCUGCCCUGGUGACAAAACCCAGAAGCAAGUAAAGGGGUAUUUACUGAGUACCUGCAACUUGCCAGGCCCUUGAGGUAUUCAUUCCUCCUUGAGCUGCCCAGAGAAGAUUAUCCUUUGUUUACUUCUGAUGAAAGCAAGGCUCAGGGAGGCCAACUGCCCCGGAGCAUGCCGCUGGGAAAGGGGGGAGAAUUUUUCUAUCCCGAGCUGGAGCUGAAAUCGAGACUCUGAGAACAGCUCUGUCACUUGACCCUGCCCCAGCCCGUCCCGGGACUCAGUGACAAGGGCCGCAUGCACACUCGUGGCCGCUGUCCGAGCCCAGCUACACCCAAGGACUGUGGGCCUGGAGGCGGCUCCCGACGGGCCUGGCCGGAGGCCUCGGUCUGCGUUUCGAGGCAGUUUGCCCAGGCUUCCUCUUAUGUGGGCAGGAAGAGCUUGGCGCUUGGGUCACGAUGUCGCUACACGGCCACUUCCACCGGCGACCGGAGCCCGAUCUGACAGCCUCACUUCUCGGUCCGCAAAGUGGGAUAUCCUCAUUUCACUGCGGCGCGGGAGGGAUAGGCCCCAGCAACGAAAAGAUGGGUAAACUCGUUCCCAAAUUACUGUGAAUUUCGAGGCGGUGAUAGCAGAGCGGGAACUAAGCUCCGGGCCCUUGGCAGCACGGGGUCCUGUGUGGUCCUGGGUCGCACUGCCCGAAGCAGGCGCCGACGCUGCAGGCGGGUGCGCGGGCCUCUUGUCCUGGCCAGGCCGAGACCAGCGCGCUCUAUCCCGAGCUUUCGGCGGGGCGCUCUCGCCAUCUAGCGGCAGAAGCGCGAACAGCACCCGCCGUUCACACGCGGGUGGACGUCGGGGCUCUUCGCAGUUACAUCUGUCGCCUGCGUUUCCUACCUUCACCUCCAAUCAGUCGCCACAUCCUCUGUAGGCACUGGAGACUCUCUCACUGGGUCCUCCUGGUCAUCAGUUCCUUGGUGCAUGCACGCCUCCUGCUUUUGGCGAGGCCCUUCUCGGGCCGCCGCUGCUCUGGUUGGCUGAGGUUCGUCUCAACCGGCCCUCGCCAGCGGUCCCCUCUCUGGGGCCCUGUGGGCGCCCUCUCUCCCUGCAGCUGCCUUCCAGUAUGCAUCUGUCCUUUAUCACAGCUUCUCAGGCUGAUGAAGCAUUAUUCAAGCGUUAUUUUUUGCUCACUUUAAAAUUAAGUUUUUUUCUUGAGUUCUGGGAAUUCUUCGUAUAAUCUGGAUACAAGUUCUGUAUCAAAUUUAUGCUCUACAUUUCCCCCCUCAUUUAGUUUGUCUUUUCAUUCUUUUAAUGUCUUUCAGAGAGCAGCUGUUUUGAAACGAUGAGAAGAUAGAAAUAUUAAUCACUCUGACUUAAUGCGUGCACAGUGAAUACAUAUGUUGAAAUAUCACACUGUGACCGAUACAUAGGUACAAAUAAUGAAUCUUUCUUUUGAAGGUAGACUCCACUGGACUUUAUACACAGAUGAUCAUGUUAUCUGAGAAUAAAGAUAGUUUUACUGCA